UGGGAAUGUACUUCUGGGUAUGUUUAUCUUACUGAUUGUUGAAUAAAGUACUGUUUGGCCAAUGAGGCAGAAAGCUAGACAGGACUAGGAGCCAAAGAGGAUUCUGGGAAAUGUAGUAAAGACAUGAUGAUGCAGGCAGGAAAUGACAUAACAGGAAGACUCUAACAUAAACAGACGAAGAAAGAAGUGGAGCCGCUCUUCCUCCAGAUUCACCAUGUGAUCCACUGGCAAGAGAGGACGCCAAUGGAAGGUGUCUGAUAAGAUAAGUCUUAUAAAAUAUAUAGAUUUAUGAUAAUUAAGACUGAACUAACAGAUGAGAAUCCUAGUCAUUGGCCAAGCAGCAUUUGUACCUAAUAUAAGUCUCUGUGCAUUAAUUGGGGACCCUAACUCGGCGGGCCAAAUUCAGGCAGCUGGCAGAGACCACCUACAUGGUAUUAGGGCUCAGGACGGCUUUUGGGGGAAAGAUUGAUAGUAACAGAAUGUUAUCAGAAGUGGGAUAACCCCAUGCCCCAAGGUUCCCAGAGGAAGAGGAAAACAUGCUGCCACAGCCUGCCCUGUCGGGCCACUGAGAGGUAUUGGAACAGCUUCCAUAUAUAUGCACACGCCAUCCCAGCACUCUUGGGGGUUGGACUCAGCACUCCUGAGAUGAUAAAGACAGAUCCAUAUAAAGAAAAACUGCUAAAGGUUUACACUGCUUUUAAAAAUAUAUGUAGGCUUGUGAGAGAAAAAGUAAUAGGAGCAAAUAGAGUAACUGGGUGUGGUGGCACACACCUUUAAUCCCAGCACUCCAAAAAGAGAGGCAGGCAGAUUUCCACAGAGAAACCCUGUCUCAGGAAAAAAUAAAAAAAAGGGAAGUAAAAAUAGAAUAAUAGAAAAGCCACCUAAAAAUGAAAAAUACACAGAGAGUUUGGAUACUAUAUUCUAUAUCGUCUUUAAAUUGUUUGAUUGCCGAAGAAAGAGUCACUGCUGCUAAAAUACAUUUGAUUAUAAGUGCUGCAAAAUUAAUCCAACUUAUACAUUUUAAAAAUGCUUUGACAUCAAAGGUUAAGUCUAAGGACAGGGUACUUGGGAAAAAAGUUUUUGCUUGUGUUUUCACAGAAAAUGAAAAGCUAUGGAUUCCUUCCAGACUAAUAUGGUUUGAUCAAGCAAGACCCACUGAAGCAGUGACCCAACUGAUCCUACAUCCAAAACAGCUGAGAUGAUACAGGCUUGCAGACUACAAAAACAAGGACUUGUGAGACACAACUGCUCCUGGCACACCAAUUAUGUAAGAAAGGAGAAUGGGCAUCAAAGAAACUUGUUAUGGAGUUUGCUUUCAACAUGGCAAGAUUAGCCAUUUGGGCAAAAAACUGCUCUUGCCUGGACUGUUUGUUGCUGUAUAAACUGGACAUGCAGGACCCACAAGAAAGUGACUGCUGAACUUACAAAAUAAGACAGUACUGAAGGGUUCCUGCUGAAAUGGAGAAGUGUGCCAGACACACUAUGGCCUAUGGGCUGAAGAUGGAUGCCCCAACAUUACAGAGGAACUUUGGGUGACUGUCCAGGUAGUGAGAUGUCUCUGUCAAUUCUAGAGUUUAUAUAUUAUCCUUCUGUGGUCUUUGAUAGAAUUGAAGACAGAUAGUUAUGGUUAUAGUUUUCUUCAGUUAUUAUAAAAGAUAAGUUAUCCUUCUUUUUAUUUAGACAGAAAAGAGGAGAUGAUGGGGAAUGUUCUUCUGUGUAUGUUCAUCUUAUUGAUUGUUGGAUAAAGUACUGUUUGGCCAGUAAGGCAGCAAGUUAGAUGGGACUAGGUAUCAAAGAGGAUUAUGGGAAAUGUGGUAAAGAAAUGAUGAUCCAGGCAGGAAAAAAACGUAACAGGGAGACUCAUACCUAAACAGAGGAAGAAGUAAGUGGUCUUGCUCUUCCUCCAGAUUCGCCAUGUUAUCCACCAGCAAGGGAGGACAGCAAUGGAAGGCGUCUGAUAAGAUAAGUCUUAUAAAAUAUAUAGAUUUAUGAUAAUUAAGACUGAACUAACAGAUGAGAAUCCUAGUCAUUGGCCAAGCAGCAUUUGUACCUAAUAUAAGUCUCUGUACAUUAAUUGGGGCCCUAACUCGACAGGCAGAACUCAAGUGGCUGGCAGAGACCGCCCAUGUGGUAGUAGGGCUCGGGCGGCUUUUGGCAGAAAGAUAUAUCCUAUCAGGACAUCUCUGUGGUUGUCUAAUAAACUUUUUUAUCCAUUUAGUAUGUAUGGCGCUUUCUUUGAGAAAUAUCCCCACAGGCUCAGAGAGUGGAACAUUCUGUGGGAUUUGGUUAUGCCUUUGAGGUGGUUAUGGGAAGUGCAGCUUUGUAGGAGGAAGUGAGUCACUGGUUAUGGGAAGUAGAGCUCUGCUGGAGGAAGUGAGUCACUGGUUAUGGGAAGUAGAGCUCUGCUGGAGGAAGUGAGUCACUGGUUAUGGGAAGUAGAGCUCUGCUGGGGGAAGUGAGUCAUUAGUUAUGGGAAGUGCAGUGUUUGAGAGUUUAUAACUUCCCUUCCUUCCAGUUCACCUUCUGAUUUGUGCUUUUGAUUGAAGAUGUGACCUCUCAGCUUCCUAUCACCACACCUGACACUCACUGCCAUGCCUCACAAGCACGAUGAACCUUUAUCCCUCUGGAAUCAUAAGCUACAAUACUUCGUCCUAAAGUUUUCCUUGGUCAUGGUGUUUUAUCACAGUCCUAUAAAAAUUAGUGGGACUUUCAUUUCAAACUAGUUUUUAAUUCGUGCAUAGACUUUGUCUCUCCUGUGGUUUCUGGUGCAGCAGGUGAAAGCACAUGCUACUUUAUCAGAGGAGGUCAGUUUGCAUGCCAGCAUCUAAUUUGGCAAGACUCAAAUGCCUGCAACCCUAGCUCCAAAGAAGCUGAUGUCCACUUGUAAAUGCCUUGAUCACCCGCAUACAUGUGGACAUACAUCUAUAAACAAAUAUAUAACAAAAUCAAUUUGAAAAAAAAUCUAUGGUUUCUGUUUGUUACAAAAAAUCUUUCCGACAAAAGCCGCUGAGCCCCACCGCCAUGUGUGGGCUUUACGCCAGCCGCCUGCCUGAGUUAGGGCCCAAAUUAAUACACAGAAACUUGUAUUAGGUACAAUGCUGCUUGGCCAAUGACUAGGAUUCUCAUCUGUUAGCUCAGUCUUAAUUAUCAUAACCUAUAUAUUUUAUAAGACUUACCUUAUCAGACGCCUUAUUGGCGUCCCUCCUUGCCGGUGGAUCACAUUGCUCCGCUGGAGGAAGAGCAGAGGGGAAAGGGGACACUUCCUGUUUCCUUUGCUUAAAUAUGAGUCUCCUUGCUAUGUCACUUCCUGCCUGUAUCACCACCUCUCUACUACAUUUCCCAGAAUCCUCUUUGACUCCUAGUCCUAUCUAACUUGCUGUCUCAUUGGCCAAAGAGAACUUUAUUAAACAAUCAAUAAGAUAAACACACAGAAGUACUUUCACCAUCAUUUUUUCAUAUGCCAC
ensembl:lncRNA